rnacentral:rRNA from 1 species
AUGAACGCUGGCGGCAUGCCUAACACCUGCAAGUCGAUCGGUAAGGCUCUUCGGAGUACACGAGAGGCGGACGGCUGAGUAACGCGUAGGAACACACCCUGCAGUGAGGGAUAAGACACCGAAAGGUGUUCUAAUACCGCAUACGGUCUUCGGAUUAAAGCAUUUAUGCGCUGAAGGAGUGGCCUGCGUCAUAUUAGAUAGUUGGUGAGGUAAUGGCUCACCAAGUCGAUGAUGUGUAGCUGGUCUGAGAGGAUGAUCAGCCAGACUGGAACUGAGACACGGUCCAGACUCCUACGGGAGGCAGCAGUGAGGAAUAUUUCACAAUGAGCGAAAGCUUGAUGGAGCAAUGCCGCGUGCAGGAUGAAGGCCCUCGGGUUGUAAACUGCUUUUAUAAGAGAAGAUUAUGACGGUAACUUAUGAAUAAGGGACGGCUAACUACGUG